rnacentral:rRNA from 1 species
UACAGAGGGGGCAAGCGUUAUUCGGAAUUAUUGGGCGUAAAGGGCGCGUAGGCGGCUUUGCAAGUGACGGGUGAAAUCCCUCGGCUUAACCGAGGAACUGCCUGUCAGACUGCAUGGCUUGAGACCGGGAGAGGUGAGUGGAAUUCCCAGUGUAGCGGUGAAAUGCGUAGAUAUUGGGGAGGAACACCCAGUGGCGAAAGG